rnacentral:rRNA from 1 species
UACGGAGGAUCCAAGCGUUAUCCGGAUUUAUUGGGUUUAAAGGGUGCGUAGGCGGAAUGAUAAGUCAGUGGUGAAAGCCUGCAGCUUAACUGCAGAACUGCCAUUGAUACUGUCAAUCUUGAGUACAUUUGAUGUGGGCGGAAUGUGUCAUGUAGCGGUGAAAUGCUUAGAUAUGACACAGAACACCGAUUGCGAAGGCAGCUCACAAAACUGUAACUGGACGCUGAGGCAACGAAAGCGUGGGUAUCAAACAGG